rnacentral:rRNA from 1 species
GACAGAGGUGCCAAGCGUUAGGCGGAAUCACUGGGCUUAAAGCGUGUGUAGGCGGAAUUGUAAGUACCUUGUGAAAUCCCACGGCUCAACCGUGGAACUGCUCGGUAUACUGCUUUUCUUGAGCCACUUAGGGGCUGUCGGAACAAACGGUGGAGCGGUGAAAUGCGUAGAUAUCGGGAGGAACACCUGUGGCGAAAGCGGCGCACUGGACCACAACUGACGCUGAGGCGCGAAAGCUAGGGGAGCAAACAGG